CCUUCAGUCUCUCAUAUCUUCUCUCAGUCUCUCUUUUCUUUCGUUUUGUCAUGGAACCUGAUGGUAAGUCCUCGAUCUUCCUCUUCCUUUCUCUUUUUUCUUGUUCGCUCUAUGUUAUGGUGAUUGGGAUUUAGGUUUUUGAAUUCUCGAUCUCAUUGAAAGUUAGGAUAUUAAUUUGGGAUUAAUUUGUCAGGGUAUGAGAAUGUGAAAUUGGGGGUUAGGGUUUCUGUUUCUCAAUUUGAAUUUAUGUUACUAAUGAUUGUUGACAGAUUUCUUCUAUGUUUAAUAUGAGAUUGGAGAUAUAGUUAAAGGGAGGACGGUGAGCAUUGCGGAGGUACAGUUCGCGACAGCAAAAAUGUCACGGUACCCGGUCUCGAUUGUGGAUAGCCAAGCCAUUGCCCAAAACAUAAGGUCAGCCCUCGUCAAUUAAAGACUGCAUUUGUUACAUUCAAGGACGCCGAAGCUCUUGAAAUCGCCCUCUUGUUAUCGGUUUUUUCUCUUAAUUAAACUUGGGAACACUCGAGGUUUUAUCUCAUGUGCCUUAUCAGAUUACAGCCAUCAGAGCAGGCUUCUUCUUCAAUGGAGCAACAAUGGUUGAUCAGAUUGUGACUAUCUGUUGAAUGACCAAAUAAUGAGAUGCCAGAAGUAAAAAUGAUGAAAAGUGCUGUUUGUGCUGCAUUUGCUGAAAGAGUUUCAUCAAAUGCUGAGGUGUUGCGGAUCCUGAUGGAACUUGGCGAAACUGCAAGCUCAAUAUAAAGAACUGCUCAUCCGCUCAGCUCAAAACCAUUCAAAAGUUGGAUUUGAAUCUUGAGUACAAGCCAGAUGUCAGGGAAGACUUAGAGGCUGUGGGGAAGAAACUUGAAGAAUGCACCGGACAAUCAUGUGGAAGAUGGAGCAGUGACGAAAGCUUUUGAAGUGAUAGAGAGAAAUUUGUUUAGGUAGAAGUUGUACUGAGGCUAGAAGUUGGUCUUUUUU